GUAGACACAUUCCAGCCAAUCAGCAGCAGACCCUCCCUCCCAGACCCUCCCACCUCCUGGACAGCAUCCAUUGUGAAGCUGCAUUCUUAGUGAGCUGUCCAGGAGGUGGGAGGGUCUGGGAGGGAGGGUCUGCUGCUGAUUGGCUGGAAUGUGUCUG